UGAGGAAUAUUGGACAAUGGGCGCAAGCCUGAUCCAGCAAUGCCGCGUGAGUGAUGAAGGCCUUAGGGUUGUAAAGCUCUUUCGCACGCGACGAUGAUGACGGUAGCGUGAGAAGAAGCCCCGGCUAACUUCGUGCCAGCAGCCGCGGUAAUACGAAGGGGGCUAGCGUUGUUCGGAAUUACUGGGCGUAAAGGGCGCGUAGGCGGCCUGUUUAGUCAGAAGUGAAAGCCCCGGGCUCAACCUGGGAAUAGCUUUUGAUACUGGCAGGCUUGAGUUCCGGAGAGGAUGGUGGAAUUCCCAGUGUAGAGGUGAAAUUCGUAGAUAUUGGGAAGAACACCGGUGGCGAAGGCGGCCAUCUGGACAGACACUGACGCUGAGGCGCGAAAGCGUGGGGAGCAAACA
rnacentral:rRNA from 1 species